rnacentral:rRNA from 1 species
UACGUAGGGUGCGAGCGUUAAUCGGAAUUACUGGGCGUAAGGCGUGCGCAGGCGGUUCGUUGUGUCGGCGGUGAAAGCCCCGGGCUUAACCUGGGAACGGCCGUUGAAACUGGCGAACUGGAGUGUGGCAGAGGGGGGUGGAAUUCCGCGUGUAGCAGUGAAAUGCGUAGAGAUGCGGAGGAACACCGAUGGCGAAGGCGGGUCUCUGGGCCGUAACUGACGCUGAGGAGCGAAAGCGUGGGGAGCGAACAGG